AGAAUUAGCUCUGGUCCCACUAAAAGCAGGAGGAAUAAUUAAUUUUGUCUUUGAUUUUGUAUACAGAUUUUGUGUUUUCUCUCUGUUGCUGUCACCGUGUGAUGAAGCAGUAGCUCCCAACCUUUUCUGUGCUGCUCUCAGCUUUGUUUGUAGCUGGUAAACAAGAAACAGUAAUAUGCUUCCCUGUGGUAAUUGGAUUAAGGACAAGGCCUCCCUCUUUGUUUAAUAUUUCUGAGAAAAGCUGCCAAGGAUUAAAGCAAGAGCUUCCCGUGGUGAAAUCCUGCCCAGUCCCACGCUGGCUUUGCACACACACAAGGCUCAAUCUCUGCUGGAAUCCCAGUCACAGCCCCCAGAUCAAUGUGCAGUUUAAGGUCUCACAGCCUGACCAGGACAAUCUCUUUCCUCUGAACAUGGAAAAUCAGUUUUUCAUUGUUACAGCACCAGCUCAAGAAUCUUCUGAGGCUGAAACAAAGACAAGGAACCUUCUGAGAUGGAAAGAGCCAGAGCAAGUUGUUGUGGGAAAGGAAAAUUAAAGAUGGAUGUGGGCCAUGACAUGAAUUGGCUCCAACAGGGCCCAAGAUCCCUGUGGGGUCUGUGGCAGGGACAACUCCCAGAGCUGGACAGGGAAGGGAACCUUCACCCACACUCCCAAAAGCUGAGAAAGAAAAACACCUGCCUGCAGCUGGCUGCAGCUCCUGGAGCUCUGGGGAUUCUGGCACACUCAGGGACAUGGGAUGAUGCCACAAUCAUUCAAACCUUGGGAAUAAUGGAAUUAAUACCACCCCUUGAGCCUGUUCUAGGCAGGCUCCUGCCCAUCAGCCACUGGCUGCAGAUGGCUGGAGUGGAAGUGGAAUUGAUGGAGGCAUCCAGGAAAUGCUGAUUGUUUUUUUCUCACUUUGGCAAUCUGGUCAGGAAAAAUACGAAUUGACCUCUUCCAGCAGCGAAACAUUUAAGCAAGAGGUGCUGAAAAGAAUUGGAGUUUCUGAUUUUAAGUCUCCAACUUGAAAUUGUCUUUGGAUUGCCACUGGUCCAAGUUUCAUGGACUGGUCACUGUGGCCAGGAGUGUCCAAUCCUGCUGGGAAUGCACUGGACCAGGAUGUCAUUUUCACUUUAUACAGGUAAAGACCCUCUGGGUGACCCCUAGUGACUGGAAGGACCAGACUGGGCUCCCAUGGCACUAAUUCCAGGUGUUCUGUUUUUGGGAAUAGCACAGGAGCCUUUCCCUUACCCAGAGGAGCAGCCAGUGCCUUCCUUAGUCCAUAAAUCCCCAGGAUGGACCACAGAGAAAAUAACAGGAAUGUGGAAAUCCCCCACACAGGGAGUUUGUGGUGCUCUGGAUUACAUUUUGGAUUUAAAAUGUUAAAGAUGGGGUGUGGAAUGGCUUCUUUUUAUUGUCAUUGUUGUCACUGCUCUUGUUGCUAUCACUGUUAUCCACAGUUAUCACUGCUAUCACUGUCAGCAAUAUUAAAAUAUUGUAUUUGUCUUGGUUUCUGUUAUUAAACUGUUCUGAUCUCACCCCCUGAGCUGGAUUUUUGUCUCUGGUCUCUUCCCCAUCCCACGGGGGCGGGGGGUGAGGGAGCUGCUGGUGGUGCCCAGCUGUGUCUGCCCAUGGCCCGGGGCACUCCUGGAGCCUCUGAAGAUGAUGGACUGGAGCAGUUUUGGGGCUCAGAGGGACACCCAGUGCUGUAUUUGGGCUCAAAACUGGGCUCAUUUGACCAAGUACAGAAAUAGACAUGGGGGGUUUGAAACCAGGGUGCCUCAGACAGCAU
ensembl:lncRNA